rnacentral:rRNA from 1 species
UGGGGAAUAUUGCACAAUGGGCGCAAGCCUGAUGCAGCCAUGCCGCGUGUGUGAAGAAGGCUUUCGGGUUGUAAAGCACUUUCAGCGGGGAGGAAGGCGAUAAGGUUAAUAACCUUGUCGAUUGACGUUACCCGCAGAAGAAGCACCGGCUAACUCCGUGCCAGCAGACUCGGUAAUACGGAGGGUGCAAGCGUUAAUCGGAAUUACUGGGCGUAAAGAGCACGCAGGCGGUCUGUCAAGUCGGAUGUGAAAUCCCCGGGCUCAACCUGGGAACUGCAUUCGAAACUGGCAGGCUAGAGUCUUGUAACGGGGGGUAGAAUUUCAGGUGUAGCGGUGAAAUGCGUAGAGAUCUGGAGGAAUACCGGUGGCGAAGGCGGCCCCCUUGACAAAGACUGACGCUCAGGUGCGAAAGCGUGGGGAGCAAACAGG